AAAGCAAAACAAACAAGCUCAUAGAAACAGAGAUCAGAGAGAGUUGGAGUCAUCUGGCAGCUUAAAUUCAGGCAAUAUGUCUUUCAAGAGCUCCCAAACUUUGUCCGUAUAUCUUGGGCUUAAAUAAAACACAUCAACAUUAA